rnacentral:snRNA from 1 species
AUAAUCCUCCAGACCCAAAACCA